rnacentral:lncRNA from 1 species
AACCAUUGACCAAAUGAUCCACUGCUGGGUAAGAGAAGAGAAUUCCACUUUCUCUAGCUAUAUCACAUUUGUUUAUGGAUUGCAUUCCACACAGCAAAGAGCAUCUCUAUGGGAUACCCUGAGAACUGUCAACUACAAUGGUCCAUGGCUUAUAAUAGGUGAUUUAAACAGUGUGCUAGGAGUGGAAGACAGGAUUAAUGGACAAACAGUACACCACUCAAAAAUGACUGAUUUCCAAACUGCAUUGAAGAUAUAGGAGUAGGACAGAUUACCAAGAGAGGGAACAGAUCUCCUGGACCAACAACAGAGACAGUGAAAACAGACUCUGCAUUGAUGAUAUAGGAGUAGGACAGAUUACCAAGAGAGGGAACAGAUACUAGGACAGAUUACCAAGAGAGGGAACAGAUACUCCUGGAGCAAUAAAAGAGAUAGUGAAAACAGGAUCUACAGUCACAUUAAUUGGGCUUUUGGUAACCCUGAAUGGUUUAAUACCAACACUGGAGUGGAAGCAGUAUAUAUGCUGCCAGGAUGCUCAGAUCAUACACCCAUAAUGCUGAACACUGAAGUUGUUAAAACCAGAAUGAACAGGCCAUAUAGACUGCUCACAAUUGUUAUGCAGCAAGAGGAUUACAGAGAAACAGUUCAACAAAUCUGGAGCCAACAGCACAAAGGUUUCACUAUGUAUUCUGUCUGGAACAAACUGCAACAGCUGCAACAAACUACCAGACAUAUUCAUAAGGAACACAACUCUGUGGAGCAGAAACUGCAACAAAUAAGAGAAGAGCUGAAUGUUGCACAGAGCAGAUUGAAUGAAGACCAUUUCAACAGGCAGGAGAUCCAAAAAGAAAAACAGUUACGGCAGAUUAUUGAAAAAUAGGAAGCUAUCCAAGAACAAAUAAUGAGGCAGAAAUCAAGAGCCAAUUGGAGAUCCAAUUGGGGGAUCACAAUACAAAAUACGUCCAUGCCUACAUGAAAGUCAGACAAGCAAGAAACAAAGUGAGUUGUAUCCUUACUGAAGUACCAGAUGAAAAUCACUGAUGCAUCAACAUCACAGUGGCCAGAGAUGAACCCUGCCUCACUCUGCACCAACAACAGCAACUACUGUCUCCAGUAACAGAACAGGAAAUACACCAGAUUGUGCAGAAGCUCCCUCAAGAUAAAACUCCAGGUAUUGAUGGCUAUCCUGCUGAAUUCUUUAAAGAAUUUUGGCCUACUGUGGGGGGGGGGGA